rnacentral:rRNA from 1 species
CCUACGGGAGGCAGCAGUGGGGAAUCUUGCGCAAUGGGCGAAAGCCUGACGCAGCCAUGUCGCGUGAAUGAUGAAGGUCUUAGGAUUGUAAAAAUUCUUUCACCGGGGACGAUAAUGACGGUACCCGGAGAAGAAGCCCCGGCUAACUUCGUGCCAGCAGCCGCGGUAAUACGAAGGGGGCUAGCGUUGCUCGGAAUUACUGGGCGUAAAGGGAGCGUAGGCGGAUAGUUUAGUCAGAGGUGAAAGCCCAGGGCUCAACCUUGGAAUUGCCUUUGAUACUGGCUAUCUUGAGUACGGAAGAGGUAUGUGGAACUCCGAGUGUAGAGGUGAAAUUCGUAGAUAUUCGGAAGAACACCAGUGGCGAAGGCGACAUACUGGUCCGUUACUGACGCUGAGGCUCGAAAGCGUGGGGAGCAAACAGGAUUAGAUACCCUGGUAGUCCACGCUGUAAACGAUGAGUGCUAGUUGUCGGCAUGCAUGCAUGUCGGUGACGCGAGCUACGCAUAAGACACUCCGCCGUCGGGAGGUACGGUCGCGAGAAUAAACUACAAUAGAGUUAGUACGGCGUGAGACGUCGCCGACGACGACGACGAGGGAGGUUAGG